AAGGUUGGGCCAGGGUAUGAGUUAUAUCAAUGGCUUUUUUCUUUCAGAGAUUCAUGUUCUGGAGAAAUGAAAAUGCUGUCUCAGUGGAAUGUUGAUUAGCUGGAGUGGAGACCCAAGAUCUCUGUCCAGGCAGGGCCAUCAAGAGAGUUUGGGAUGAAUUUCUUUAAUUGCUUCUCUAAGAUUGAUGCUUGGUGAUGUGACAUUAAAAUUUUGACCAAGUGAAGCUUCUCAAUUUGUGUACCUAAUUCAAGCAUGUACAACAAGAAGUCAUGAUAGGAAAGUGCCCUUGAUUCAUUUUACAAAUAAAAAUUCCAAGGGCUGUGAUGAGAGUCAUUAUAUGUGCAGAGACUUAUAAAAAGAUAUUAAGAAAGUCUCACUUUUCAGUUUAUUAAAAAUGGAAUUGAAAUGCUUCUUGGUGAGACAUUGGAAUCUGAAACCUCAAAAUGACCUGAAGAAUGCCAAGUACGUAAUUCUAGUUUUCAAUUCCUCAGGCAGAACAUAGAAGUGCUCUUGACUUUCUAAAAUCUGCACAUCUCCAACUUUUCUUUUAGCUAGAGGCGGCCCUGUGAUUGAUGAGUGACCAGCCAUGUGUGGAGAAAAGCAAUGUGAACAACUUCUGACUUCGCUCUAAAGAAAAUUGGUCUGUCCCCCAUUUCCUUGCAUUCCCAUUCUUACUGGCUGAAAUUCAAAGCUGAUAAAUGGAGCUAGAGCAGAUAUCUGGGAAAAUGAGUUGAGGGUCUUACAUUAAGACUUGCCAGCAAGAAGAAGAAUUUUUCCAGGGUUCCUGACACCACCAAAUUGUUUGAUCAGCUCUGAACUCUCUACUGAGAUUCUUUAAGUAUGAGAGACAUGAACUUUGACUGGCUUAAGGAUGGUGCCUUUAGAGGUUCUGAUGAAGCGACUCAAAUGCUGGACGAUAUGGAGAAGGACCAAAGAAAUGUAGAAUCUUCCAUCCAAUUUCUAAUGAACUAUCAGAUGACAAUAUCAGGGAGAAGUUGGAGAGAAGGAAGCACCGAUCACUGGUGAAUGCUUCAUAGG